AUUUCCGCUUCCGGUGGCGUUUUAGCGGGAGAUCCGAGCGUCUCGGCUGGUGGAAGGGGCGAGGAGCUUUGCAGUUGUGUGCGAGUGUGUACAGGGGACAGAGUCCUGAGCAAGGAAACCUAGAAGGGAGAGAGGAAUACCAUGGAAUUGAGUCCUGUCUGGUAGCACUGACAGACACAGUGGCCAGCCACCCUCAUGCCACCCUGUCCUGCCAUGGGAAGGAACAGCAGCUCUAGAGUUCCUAUGGGGAACUCUCUUUCCUUCUCACUGAACUCUAGCUUCAUCAAUAACUCAGUGCCUCUGGCCAAGUUUUUAGCCUCUGGGACAACAUCCACUAUAUCCAUAUGAGGCACUCAUGUAACACGGUGAUUAAGAGUACAGAUGCUGAAGCCAGCAGCCUAAGUCUGAAUCCUGACUGCCAAUUAUUAAUAUAAGUUGUGGAACCAUGGUCAAGUUACUCAACCUCUUUAUGCCUCUGUCUCCUGGUCUACGAAAUGAAGGCUUUGAAUCUGCUGUUAUUAAGUUGCUGGUGCUGAAAUAACACUUAUUAUUUAUGAUCUAACUGAAAUGGGAACACUGGAAACUUCUUUGAAACUGAAGAAAAAAAUGAAAAAGAAGUUUUUACAAUCAAAACUGCCAUGAAGACUGCUUUACCCAAAAUUUUGGUCCACAGCUUUCAUUGAAUUACUUAUCAGGGCAAACAAAGUUUAGCCAUGUGAACACGUUCCAAUUUUGUUGGAAAUAAUUUGGAUCCAGCUAUCUUUAUACAAUGGUGAGUUCGUAUUGCAUCUCAUGGCUAAAAUACUGAGGUAAAGGCUUUUGGAUCUUUGUGUGUGUGUGUGUGCAUGUGACAAAAACAAGCAAUGGGGAAAGGAGUCCCUAUUUAAUAAAUGGUGUUGGGAGAACUGGCUAGCCAUAUGCAGAAAGUUGAAACUGGAGCCCCUCCUUAUACCAUAUACAAAAAUCAACUCAAGAUGAAUUAAAGACUUAAAUGUAAAAACCCAAACUAUAAAAACCCUAGAAGAAAAUCUAGGCAAUACCAUUCAGGACAUGGGCACAGGCAAAUAUUUCAUGACAAAGAUGCCAAAAGCAGUAGCAACAAAAGCAAAAAUUGACAAAUGGAAUCUAAUUAAACUAAAGAGCUUCUGUACAGCAAAGAAAUUAUCAUCAGAGUGAACAGACAGCUUACAGCAUGGGAGAAAAUUUUUGCAGUAUAUCCAUCUGACAAAGGUCUAAUAUUCAGCAUCUACAAGGAACUUAAACAAAUUUACAAGAAAAAAAAACAACGCCAUUAAAAAAUGGGCAAAGGACGUGGACAGACACUUCUCAAAAGAAGAAAUUUAUGUGGGCAAUGAACAUUUUUUUUAAAAAAGCUCAACACCACUGAUCAUUAGAGAAAUGCACAUGAAAACCACAAUGAGAUACCAUCUCACACCAGUCAGAAUGGCUAUUACUUAAAGGUCAAAAAACAACAGAUGAUAGCAAGGUUGUGAAGAAAAAUGAACACUUUUAUACGUUGGUUGGAGUAUAAAUUAGUUCUACCCUUGUCGAAGACAGUGUGGUGAUUCCUCAAAGACCUAGGGGAAGAAAUAUCAUUUGACCCAGCAAUCUCAUUACUGGGUAUAUACCCAGAGGAAUAUAAAUCAUUCUAUUAUAAAGAUACAUGUGCAUGUUCAUUGCAAAAUAGCAAAAACAUGGAAUCAACCUAAAUGCUCAUCAAUGACAGACUUGAUAAAGGAAAUAUGGUACGUAUACACCAAGGAAUACCAUGCAGCCAUAAAAAGGAACAAGAUAAUGUCUUUUGCAGGGACCUGGAUGGAACCAGAAGCCAUUAUCCUCAGCAAAUUAAUGCAGGAACAGAAAAGCAAAUACCACAUGUUCUCACUUGUAAGUGGUAGCUGAAUGAUGAGAACACAUGGACACAUGGUGGGGAACAAUACACACUGGGGCCUGUUGCAGGGUGCGGAGUGGGAGGGAGAGCAUCGGGAAGAAUAGCUAAUGCAUGCUGGGCUUAAUACCUAGGGGAUGGAAUGAUCUGUGCUGCAAACCACUAUGGCACACAUUUACCUAUGUAACAAACCUACACAUCCUGCACAUGUACCCCUGACCUUAAAAUAAAAGUUGGAAAUAAAAAAAACCCUAAACAUAUACCUAC
rnacentral:lncRNA from 1 species